UAUUUCUUUACUACCCACAAGGGGCUAAACACAGAGAGGACAAACAAGGACAAACAAACAGAUUGUCGAUUAUAUCAACUCCAGUGCAUAACUGGUACUUAAUUUAUCAACCCCGAAAGGAUGAAAGGCAAAGUCGAACUCUGCGGAAUUUGAACUCAGAACGUAAAGGUAGACGAAAUACCACUGUCCGGUGUGCUAACGUUUCUGCCAGCUCGCCUGAUACUGGAAUAACCUGAUUAGCUAAAGUAUAGCAACCACAGUUAAAAUAGUGGGGAAAAAGUUGAGAUUGAAACUGGUGCAUCCAGGCAUCUGGGAAAAAGUAAGUAGGAAGCUGAAGAUGAUAGCAAAAACAAUAAAGUACACUGAAAUAUCCUUAUUAAAAUGGAGUUUGUGUAAGGGUUUCUACGUUCAUAACUGAAUUACUCUCAACCUCCCUUAAGCAUCUCCUUACACUGCCUCUUAAAGAAACCAUCUCUCCAAAGGAAUGAAAUAGAAAAAUCAAAAGUGUUGUCUGAUCUGCCUACUGCUAGAGGAAAAAAAAACCCCAGCUGGGUGGGGGUAGUGAUUCUCCAAGUCAUUUCAAUACCAACUCUAAACAAUGAAAUCAUUCUUACCUGAGUGUCAUCGAGUUUUUUGCCAGUUUUCUGUUGCUCUUUCAGCUUGUUUAUCUGAGUAAUUUUCUACAAAAAAACAAAAAAAAUUACAAAACAAGGUUUCCAACAAAAAAAAAAGUUAACCCAUUU